UCUCUGCCUCUCUCUCUCUCUCUCUCUCUCUCUCUCUAUCUCCCGGGUCUCUAUGAAAAAAUAAAAUCUUUAAAAAAAAGAAAUGAGAUCUCAUAAUGAUGAAAUUAAAAAUACUCUAACUGGACUUAGUCUAAAAUGGAUGCUCUAACUGCAAGGGUAUUUGAGGCAGAAGAGAGAGUAAGUGACAAGGAAGACAAGUUGAUGGAAAUAAAGGAUACUGAGGAAAAGAGAAAAGUAACUAAUAGAAUGUGAGGAGAGGCUCUGAGAGAUAAGGGAGGGUAUGAAGAAAAAAAUCUCAAUUAUUGGAAUUAUUGGAGUUCCUGAAGAUACAGAGAGAGAGAGAGAGAGAGAGAGAGAGAGAGAAUUUAUAUUUGAGCAAAUUAUAGCUGAGAACUUCCUUAAUCUGGGGAAAGAGACAGGCAUUCAUAUCUAAGAGAUAGAUAGAGAAGACCCCUUCCCAAAUCAAUAAAAAUAGAUCAACACCCCAACAUAUGAUACUGAAGCUUGCAAAUUCCAGAGACAAAGAGAAAAUCCUGAAAUCACCUUUAGACCAGUGGUUCCUAAAUCUCCUAACCUAGAAACAUUAAGCUGGCAAAAGAACUAUCCACAGAAACACAACAAGCCAGAAAGUGCUGGCAUGAUAUAUUUAGGGUACUAAAUGAGAAAAAAAUACAGUCAAGAAUAUUUUCCAGCAAGGCUGUCAUUCAGAAGUGGAGAGAUAAAGAGAUUCCAGGAUAUAGAGAAACUGAAAGAAAAUGUGACCACCAAGCCACUCUGGAAGAAAUAUUAAAGGGGAUCCUGUAAGUGAAGAGAGGGCCAAGGAGUAACCUGGACCAGAAAGGAACAGAGAUAAUCUGCAGAAACAGGGAAGGUACAGGUUACUCCACUGGUCAGCAGUGUAAUGUAGCCAGUCCUAUCCCUUCACACCACAUUACCCACAUCCUUCACCUCUGCUCUGCCAUGCCAGAGGGUGUUAUAUGCAGCAGGUGCCAUGACCAUUGAAAAGGCCUUGGGAGAAGGCACACUGCUGAGGGUGGUUUCUGUGGUCAGGGAACCCUGAAGACAGCAUCCAGUACCCCAGUGAGCAUUGCACUGAGUGGGGACUGUGGCAGCUGCCAUAUCUCCUUCAUCAAUCCAUUGCAAGGAAUUGGGUAUGAGGAGGAGGACUCAGCUCCCACUGGGGUGGUGAGGACCACUGACAUACUUGCCACUAUUCUCAUUUCACCAGUGUGGUACUGUGGGAUGUGCCCAAGUAGUGGCAGUCAUGCAAAACCUGUAUAACUGUGAAGGAGAUGCAGGUUAGCUGAUACGACUUCACCAUCAUGCCUGCAUCCAAGAGUUCCGCAUGAAUCUCAAGAAGUUUGCCAAAAUCAUAUGUAACCUGGAAAAGUGGUUCCAUAUCAUCAGAGCAAGCUGAACAAGGAUCUCAGCACAAGUGCAUUCUGAGAGGAAUGACUCCUGCAGAAUAUCUGGGAGAUUAUCCAUGAAAAUCCCCCAGAAGAAGUGGGUGUGUGAACCCAUCAUAUCCUAGGUCUCUAGCCUUGACCCUUGAUUGCAUGACUUCUAAGAACUUAGGAACACCUUGAACAAGGGUCUCUCUGACAUCAGGAAACAUGUUCCACUAAAAAACCUGUCUACAUCAGUGAGAAGAUCCUCAAUGACAAGGUAAUCUCUCUGCAGAUGGGAAUCACCAGACAGUGUUUGCAGGACACCCUUGGUGUUCAGAAUGAAGAUGAUUUGGAGUAGUGUCUGAAUACCUGCUGUUGUUUCUUUGGAAUGGGUGAUGAAUCUCUCUAGAGGGUGGCACAGAGUCUGGGAUUCCCAUGAAGGAGUACAGCACCAUCAUGAAAUCCUUAGAUCUGUACCCUCUCUAUAAAAUGAACUGGAGACUGACUUCAUGACUUCUUCACUAGUGAAGUAUUCCUUAGCCUUCUUAGGUACAUCCACUUCUUGGGUGACCAUGUCAUUCUCUGCUUUAGCUGACUGAAGAAAUGAUGCACCCUUGAAUUAGAUGCCAAGGAAAUGAAGACCAUCCUGAGGAAAUCCUUUCUUCCAGAGCUAACCACUUGGACAUAGUCCAAUAAGUUCAUUCUCAAGUGGAAGUCAGGUUGCCUUCAGAUCCUCUUCCAGGAGGAUACAGUUUUUUCUCCACUAGAAAGGAAUGGAUUUAACCUAACACUUUCUUUUAUCUCUAAGAGUAUUAGUUUCUUGAAAGCAAUUUUUAAAAUGAUCUGUCUUCCUAAACCCAAUCCUAAUGCACUGUUCCCUUGAAAAAUAACUAUUUGUUAAGUCAUUAAAUAAGUUAUCUGGGUUUAGAAUAUAGAAAUUUUGUUUUAAGUUGCAAAUUGUCAUGUAUGUCUGGAGCAGUCUUUUUCAUCUCAGAGCCUAUGGCAACAGCAAGCACAUCAAAACUACUCAGCACUAGUUUCGUGAAGUGCACUCCCCACAUGCCACAGAAGAUGUCCACCUCCCUAAAGCUAGUUAGAGUUGAGGAUCAGACAGGAGGAUGGAGAAACUCUACCAGCAUCACCCCAGGGUGGGGGAAAAACAUGGAAUUUCAGGGUAAAGGGGCAUGGAGACCUACACAAUUGAAGCCAAUGAUGUAUAACAGUGGGAGAUAAUACAUUUUUGUUUGUUUGUUUAUUAUUAAAAUAAUAAUAAUAAAAUAAAUAAUAAAAUAAAAUAAAAUAAUUUUUUAUAAAUUUA